rnacentral:rRNA from 1 species
GAUGAACGCUGGCGGCGUGCCUAAUACAUGCAAGUCGAGCGAACAGACGAGGAGCUUGCUCCUCUGACGUUAGCGGCGGACGGGUGAGUAACACGUGGAUAACCUACCUAUAAGACUGGGAUAACUUCGGGAAACCGGAGCUAAUACCGGAUAACAUGUUGAACUGCAUGGUUCAACAGUGAAAGACGGUCUUGCUGUCACUUAUAGAUGGAUCCGCGCCGCAUUAGCUAGUUGGUAAGGUAACGGCUUACCAAGGCAACGAUGCGUAGCCGACCUGAGAGGGUGAUCGGCCACACUGGAACUGAGACACGGUCCAGACUCCUACGGGAGGCAGCAGUAGGGAAUCUUCCGCAAUGGGCGAAAUCCUGACGGAGCAACGCCGCGUGAGUGAAGAAGGUCUUCGGAUCGUAAAACUCUGUUAUUAGGGAAGAACAAAUGUGUAAGUAACUAUGCACGUCUUGACGGUACCUAAUCAGAAAGCCACGGCUAACUACGUG